AGCAUAUAGACGCUGCCCUAAGUAAGCACCAGUGCAAACUGGUUAGCUUUGGAUGGAUGUGAUGCAAUGACUAGUGGAUAGACUCUCAAGCUGCCAAAUGCAUCGGCGAGGAAUGAAUUACUUGCGAGACUAUCGAAAAUUCAAUUGCAGGGCGACUCAGCAGCAAGGACGAGGCUAGCAACUAGCCAUAACAUUGCUCCAGUUAGUGACCAUAACAUGUGUUGGCCGAAUUUUGCCAUCUGAAUCGGCAUGAUUGCAAUUAACACUUAGCAAUGUCAUCUCAAUUCUGUUCGACAGGGCGCACUACGAUCAUCACCAAAGGUCGAUGCAUGUGCUAGUGACUCCAAGCCUUCUACUCUUGCCAGCAACCACCACCAAUCACCAAGGGAUUACAAGAAGCACAGAGAAAACCAAGGAAGAGUCAAUAUUAUUCUUAACAACCAUGGCAUAUACCCAUAAUCAUGUCUAAGAAUAACAAAUCUAACAACAUCAUGCGAACAUUAGUAAUCUGUUGUCAAAUCGGACGAUCAUUGGAAUCAAUUCAGAAUGAGGUCUCAAACACAUUUCAUCAAACAGAUUAUGGUCAAUCAGUUGAGGAACAGAUCAAAGCCAUUUCGAACUCAAAUUUACAACUACACUCAAGCUAAAUCAACGCAAGAUGUUCGAAAUCAAAUAAGCAAAUUCAAACACGAUCAAUUUCAUCAUAAUCAAAGAAUCGGACUCUUGGCCUCUUAGUUGUGACAACAGAGAAAGAAAUGCUACCCAGUUAAUGAAGUGGAUUGAGGCUGGGGUUGGUGCACGAAUCACUGAAGGAAGCUGUAGAAUGUGUCGAUGAUCGAAACCUAAAUAGGUGGAGAAGCUUCGAGCGAAAUAGAUUGAAAUGAAGGAGGUGAGUUGCAACAAUGAAAAGGUUGUCGACGCUUGCAACGACCAUUAGAUCAAUUUGGAACUCUUGAAAUUGUGAAUCGAGU
rnacentral:lncRNA from 1 species